CCUACGGCGGGCAGCAGUGGGGAAUAUUGGACAAUGGGCGAAAGCCUGAUCCAGCCAUGCCGCGUUUGUGAAGAAGGCCUUCGGGUUGUAAAGCACUUUCAGUGGGGAAGAAAGCCUUGGGGCUAAUACCCUCGAGGAAGGACAUCACCCACAGAAGAAGCACCGGCUAACUCCGUGCCAGCAGCCGCGGUAAUACGGAGGGUGCGAGCGUUAAUCGGAAUUACUGGGCGUAAAGCGCGCGUAGGCGGUCUGAUAAGCCGGUUGUGAAAGCCCCGGGCUCAACCUGGGAACGGCAUCCGGAACUGUCAGGCUAGAGUGCAGGAGAGGAAGGUAGAAUUCCCGGUGUAGCGGUGAAAUGCGUAGAGAUCGGGAGGAAUACCAGUGGCGAAGGCGGCCUUCUGGACUGACACUGACGCUGAGGUGCGAAAGCGUGGGUAGCAAACAGGAUUAGAUACCCUGGUAGUC
rnacentral:rRNA from 1 species